AUUGAACGCUGGCGGCAGGCCUAACACAUGCAAGUCGAACGAGUGGCGGACGGGUGAGUAAUGUCUGGGAAACUGCCUGAUGGAGGGGGAUAACUACUGGAAACGGUAGCUAAUACCGCAUACCAUCAGAUGUGCCCAGAUGGGAUUAGCUUGUUGGUGGGGUAACGGCUCACCAAGGCGACGAUCCCUAGCUGGUCUGAGAGGAUGACACCCCCCACGGGAACUGAGACACGGGCCAUACUCCUUCCUAAUCAUCCCAUAUCUAAUAUUGCGCAAUGUGCGCAAGCCUGAGUCAGCAAUGCCGCAUGUAUGAAGAAUUCCUUCGGAUUUUAAAGUACUUUCAGCAGGGAGGCGUUACCCGCAGAAGAAGCACCGGCUAACUCCGUGCCAGCAGCCGCGGUAAUUC
rnacentral:rRNA from 1 species